AGUGAACGCUGGCGGUAUGCCUAACACAUGCAAGUCGAACGGCAGCACAGUAAGUGCUUGCUGGUACGGAGUGCGAGUGGCGGACGUGUGAGGAAUACAUCGGAAUCUACGUUUUGGUUGGGCAGAAGGAAGGGGAACUUACUCUAAUACCGCAUACCACCUAAGGGUGAAAGCAGGGGAUCUUCGGACCUUUCGCGAUUGAAGGAGCCGAUGUCGGAUUAGCUAGUGGGCGGGGUAAAGGCCUACCAAGGCGACGAUCCGUAGCUGGUCUGAGAGGAUGAUCAGCCACACUGGAACUGAGACACGGUCCAGACUCCUACGGGAGGCAGCAGUGGGGAAUAUUGGACAAUGGGCGCAAGCCUGAUCCAGCAAUACCGCGUGUGUGAAGAAGGCCUUCGGGUUGUAAAGCCCUUUUGUUGGGAAAGAAAAGCAGCAGCUUAAUACGGCGCUGUUCUGACGGUACCCGAAGAAUAAGCACCGGCUAACUUCGUG
rnacentral:rRNA from 1 species